UCUGUGAGUGCACACCAUUUGGCACUAUCCUGUUUGUACUUUGUUUGUCGACUAAACACCCCAGUUAAUGUUUACUGU